rnacentral:lncRNA from 1 species
AUACAUGUACCCAAAAUCAUUAACUCUUAAGAGGUUGCCUUCCCAUGAGAGACAAAGCUGAGUGAGUUAGUUCUAGAUGCAUUAUCAAUAAAAAUCCAACCGUCCCUGCAACACCUGUGUCAGGCUCCAGAUUCAAAUCUUGGGGAGAAGCAUCCAAAGUGACAUUAUGGUCCUGAAAUUAUGUUGACAAGCAGUUUAGCACAUAGUUAUGAGGCUUGAAUAUUCUGGUAGAAUUUUGGUAGCAUAAUCAUAAUUUGCACAAUAUGGACAGGAGAAUGUAAACCCUCCCCACAACCCACAUAGCCCUGGUAAUGAAAAUAUAUGAUCAUGCUUCGCACGGAAGCAUCAAAACCAUACAUAUCACCACACAUAGCGCUUUGCACAUCGCAGAAGCAUGCAUUUGAACAUCCGAAUUGCAGGAACAUACAAAGUUUGUAUAAUCCAAAGUUAAUUUCAGAAAACUUACAUGAUCUGGAUGUUCCUGAGCACACAAAUUUAGUGGUUCUUGGCUCGUUUCAAGGAUCUGCAAGAUAAGGGCCCGGUUGUGAAAAUAUACAUGGGCAUGCUCAUGUAAAUCAACUUGUACAUUAGCCGUGUCUCAAAUAGAUUAAAAUACAUACAUGGCCAGUUAAGCGAUGUGUUCCGUAUACACUACUCAGAUCAUGCUUACUCUGUUCUAUAGGAAAAACAAAGCAAAGGAAAGGAUAGCUCUAUGGAUUAGUGUUCCCUAGUUCUGUAAAGUUUCAGCUGAAUUUAAGCUGCAGAAAAUAGCAGAAAAGAAACUAUGCAAUCAAAAUAUACUAAAUCUAUUGAUAUGGUAUUCAUAGCUCCCAAUUACAAUAACAAAGGUAAAAUAAUUUGCUAAUACUCCAUUAGAUGUUGAUUUUAUUCAUGGAAACGAAUUUAAGCAAAUCAUCACUCUAAAAUCUAUAACUGACAGAAGCAAAAUGGUCUUCCAUCCGUGCAAGAGCUCCCCCCCCCCUAUGAGACGCAUGUACAUAUACUGGUGAAUCUGCAUCCCAAGUUGAUGUUGCUUCGCCAAGCUAGAAAACAACAAUGCAGUCUCUAAACAAUGCUUGGUACCUUUAAAUCACGAAAACAUUCAGUCAGGAAAUAUGUUUUAGGUUAACAAAAAGGUAGUGCAGGAGAGACGACUACCAAGGAUAUCAUUCCAAGUCAUAGCAACAGAGAACUUAAAACUGAAACGGGAUCAUUAGAAGGAAGGUUGUUCCAGCAACCAUCACAAUUUACCUGAAAAGAGAGGAUAAAAGAGUACUUAGAGCUCCUGGGCUUGCCGGCGUUGGGGCCAGAUGCCAGAGGCUGGUGCUUAGAGCUCCCGGGCGCCUCUGGUCACGGUCGUGCUUAGGCAUCAAGCCACUGCCAGCGUUGUGUAAAAGUGAGGUUGUGAGAAGCAAGAGCAGUCUAGCCUCCCUCUCACAACUGGGAAUUUAAUCCUGCUAUAAUGAAGUCCAACUCUUGUGAUUACACCUUUUCAGUGUAGAUUCUUGCAUGUUUCAUCUUAAUUAACUAGUUGUAGUUCUAAUUAAAAAUUGUUGUUUAGAGACGUAAUGGCUAAAAGAAAGACCAUUGAUUUUACAUUUUCUACAACAAGUGCUGAGCGUGUAUUUUCUACUUUGAAGAUUAAUAAGACAAUGCUACAUAGUAAUAUGUUGGAAGAUAAUUUACUAUCCAGUAGCUUGUCUUAAGCACAGAGAGUAAAAUCACAGCCAAGAAUUUCUUAGACAAUUUAGGAGUGGAAAGAAACAAAGAGCUGAUCUUUAGUGAUUAACUCAGUGCUCAUAUUUAAUUAGUAUUUUGGUUCA